rnacentral:rRNA from 1 species
GAACCAUCGAGUUUUUGAACGCAAGUUGCGCCCGAUGCCGCUAGGCUGAGGGCACGUCUGCCUGGGCGUCACGC